CCUACGGGAGGCAGCAGUGGGGAAUUUUGGACAAUGGGGGAAACCCUGAUCCAGCCAUUCCGCGUGAGUGAAGAAGGCCUUCGGGUUGUAAAGCUCUUUCGGCAGGAACGAAACGGCGGACUCUAACAUAGUCUGUCAAUGACGGUACCUGAAGAAGAAGCACCGGCUAACUACGUGCCAGCAGCCGCGGUAAUACGUAGGGUGCGAGCGUUAAUCGGAAUUACUGGGCGUAAAGCGUGCGCAGGCGGCUUUGGAAGACGGAUGUGAAAUCCCUGGGCUUAACCUAGGAACUGCGUUCGUGACUGCAAGGCUAGAGUGCGGCAGAGGGGGGUAGAAUUCCACGUGUAGCAGUGAAAUGCGUAGAGAUGUGGAGGAAUACCGAUGGCGAAGGCAGCCCCCUGGGUCGACACUGACGCUCAUGCACGAAAGCGGGGGGAGCAAACAGGAUUAGAUACCCUUGUAGU
rnacentral:rRNA from 1 species